UAAAAAUGACGGUUAUUUUCGUCUGUAUUACUAUUCAACAGUAACUGUAUGUUACUAUGGUUACCAAUGUUUAUAGGAAGCGCAUUAAUAUAGAACGUGAUUAAACUGACCUGGAACUACCUGUGCAGUUCAACGAAUUUAAUCAACACCUGCCAGCCAAUCAGAAUCCAGUAUUCAGACAGACCAUGGCAUAAAGCGGUAUGUUCUUAUUUUUACCAGCUUCUGCAAGCUUGUAUGGCGUCUGGCUGUUGGAACCUCACUGUGACUUCAGAUAAGAACAAAGAUUAAAUUGUAAGAAGAGCUGCUUGUAAGAGCAUACAGUACAUCUGAAACUGCUGAGGCUGGGAAUGUUUUUGACUAUAUUUCCGACCAGAUCAGCUGCUAUAGAAGACAAACUGAAAUCUGAGUGCAGAGACAAGCAAAGGAAUACUGCAAGGCACUUGUGCAAAAUAUUGUAUGCCAGGACGACUAGGCUGUGCCCAGGUCUCCGGAACCUGUGACGACGCUCAGCUCCAUCGGCCCUCCAUCUACAUCUUGGCUACUCCCUCCCUCGACUCCGCCGUGUAUUGUCAGCACUGGGAUGCUCUGGGUCUGUGCCAUGUGCCAAACUCCAUCUAAGCCGCCAGGGCAUCAUCGUCAUCCUCCCAUCACCAUCCCUUCACCACAUCCUGCCAUCAUCCCGCACCUUUGCCUCUCACCAUUCCUACACCAUUUUUAAUACAUUUAAUAGUAUGUUUUUUGUUCUUCACCAAAGCAUAUA